rnacentral:rRNA from 1 species
UACAGAGGGUGCGAGCGUUAAUCGGAAUUACUGGGCGUAAAGCGUGCGUAGACGGUAGCGUAAGUCAGAUGUGAAAGCCCCGGGCUCAACCUGGGAACUGCAUUUGAGACUGCUCUGCUCGGGUGCGGAAGAGGAAAGCGGAAUUUCCGGUGUAGCGGUGAAAUGCGUAGAUAUCGGAAGGAACACCAGUGGCGAAAGCGGCUUCCUGGUCCGACACCGACGUUCAGGCACGAAAGCGUGGGGAGCAAACAGG